rnacentral:rRNA from 1 species
UCUUGUGGCCAUACCUCCUUUGCUCUGCCCGAUCCCGUCAGAUCUUGGAAGCUAAGCAGGGAAGGGCCUGGUCGGUACUUGGAUGGGAGACCGUUUGGAAACACCAGGAAGCCUAGUGAA